rnacentral:tRNA from 1 species
GGUAGGAUGGCUGAGUAUAGGCGGUAAACUGUAAAUUUAUUAAGGGGAAAUAUCUCUCCUAUCA